UACGAAGGGGGCUAGCGUUGUUCGGAAUUACUGGGCGUAAAGCGCACGUAGGCGGUUUGUCGCGUCUGCUGUGAAAGCCCGGGGCUCAACUGUGGAACUGCCAUUGAUACUGGUUACCUUGAGUAUAGAUGAGGCAGGCGGAAUUUACGAUGUAGCGGUGAAAUGCAUAGAUAUCGUAAAGAACACCUAUAGCGAAGGCAGCUUGCUAAACUAUAACUGACGCUGAGGCACGAAAGCAUGGGGAGCGAACAGG
rnacentral:misc_RNA from 1 species